rnacentral:lncRNA from 1 species
AACAAUCAUCGGUCCACCCACUAAGUCUACAGAAGGUAACAAGGCUAGCAGGAAAAGCUGAAAAAAAUCUACCGCUACAUAUCGCUACACUAGCAUGAUCUACACUAACCAACUGUAGUAAAAGUCACAACUAACUCAAUCUCACUAGGGACUGUGAACACACCCGUCCCGCUUGUCGGAUCGAACCCGUAACCUACUCCAGGAGUAGCUGGUGGAGAAAACUCUCUAGGGACUGUGAAUACACCCAUCCCGUCUAAUUAGGUGACACCGUAGCUCGAGAGUAACCGGCGGAGAAGACUCUCUAGAGAUUGUGAAUACACCCGUCUCGUCUACUAGACUACACCAUAUCUCAAGAGUAACCGGCGGAGAAAACUCUCUAAAGACUGUGAAUACACCCGUCUCGCCUAAUUAGACUACACCAUAUCACAAGAGUAGUCGGUUCCAGAAAAGGUCCAACAGGACGGCUAAGACUCCACUCACGUCACAACCUCACCAAAGGUAGGGAAAAGCGUCACUCACUAUCUCACCCGGGCUGCCCAAAACGGACCCACCCUGCCUAUAUCUAGCUGCGCCGUACACGACCCCGAGGGUAGCCCGGCUCAAGAACUGUCCAACAGAAACUGCGACACUCAUCGCACUGAAACCUCAUUCCGGAAUGGCAUUCAUGGGCGCAACCUAACGAGUUUACAAGUAUCUCUGUCAAGUUCAUACCACUCUCACAGGCUAAGUCAAGUAACCGACUCUAACUGGUCUAACAACCAACAGGUAACGUGCCCUUGGCACAAUCUAACGCCAAAAAGGCGAUACGAGUCCACCGUCAAUUCCGACGGCACCCAACAGUCCGGAACAGCCUGAACGCUACUGUAAAAAUACACUCGGCAUCCUAGCACAAGCGUAACUAAAAACUAAACUAUCUAGAAUACUCACUAUGAGGAUACUGCAACAGUAUAAAAUAAUACAACGGCCCCUAGGCUAAAUCAGGUAGUUUAACAUAUGCCAGGUCCCGAACGCUGGUUUUCUCCUAAGUUUAAUUCUAAGUCCAACAUGUAUAUUUAUAGUUACAAGUCAUGCCCUCAAGCUAAUUUCAUUCAUUAUACAAUUGACGAAAUUGAGCUACCACAUGAUUUACAAAAACAGGAAAUCAUACAUGUCGACUACUAUAAUACUUAGGAAUAAACCGAUGUAACCCACCUCAAUUGCUAAUCCCUGGCAGCACGGAACUCCCCUCAGCUGCGGAACAACCUGCCGAAAUGUCCGAAAACCUCCCAAGGCCCGAAGUCAAGCUCCCGCUAAACUCUACACGGAGAAUCUGACAAUAAACAUUAAUUCUGCCUCCAAAAACAGCAACAGAGAAGAGCGAAAUUCCGACCAGCAAACCUUUACCAAAUCCAGCAAGUAAGGGCUUCGUGGAUUUCUCUCGAAGUCCCGAAUCCAACGAACCAAGUCCCGUCGAAACCCAACACUCCUACGCCGAGUAUGAACUGA